rnacentral:rRNA from 1 species
CACGUAGGGCGCGAGCGUUGUCCGGAAUUAUUGGGCGUAAAGAGCUCGUAGGCGGCCUGUUGCGUCCGCUGUGAAAGCCCGGGGCUUAACCCCGGGUCUGCAGUGGAUACGGGCAGGCUAGAGGUAGGUAGGGGAGAAUGGAAUUCCCGGUGUAGCGGUGAAAUGCGCAGAUAUCGGGAGGAACACCGGUGGCGAAGGCGGUUCUCUGGGCCUUACCUGACGCUGAUGCGCGAAAGCGUGGGGAGCGAUCCGG